AAGUCGUACUGGGGACACUUCCUGAUCAAUUCUUGGAACCUGGUCCAAGCUGCACAUAAAGUUUCUCCCAAAUGUUGAGUGAAGUUGGUGAUCUCAUUCACCAACUU